rnacentral:rRNA from 1 species
GACGAACGCUGGCGGCGUGCCUAAUACAUGCAAGUCGAGCGCAGGAAAUCGACGGAACCCUUCGGGGGGACGUUGGUGGAAUGAGCGGCGGACGGGUGAGUAACACGUAAAGAACCUGCCCUCAGGUCUGGGAUAACCACGAGAAAUCGGGGCUAAUACCGGAUGGGUCAUCGGACCGCAUGGUCCGAGGAUGAAAGGCGCUUCAGCGUCGCCUGGGGAUGGCUUUGCGGUGCAUUAGCUAGUUGGUGGGGUAAUGGCCCACCAAGGCGACGAUGCACAGCCGACCUGAGAGGGUGAUCGGCCACACUGGGACUGAGACACGGCCCAGACUCCUACGGGAGGCAGCAGUAGGGAAUCUUCCACAAUGGACGAAAGUCUGAUGGAGCAACGCCGCGUGAACGAUGAAGGCCUUCGGGUCGUAAAGUUCUGUUGUAAGGGAAGAACAAGUGCCGCAGGCAAUGGCGGCACCUUGACGGUACCUUGCGAGAAAGCCACGGCUAACUACGUGCCAGCAGCCGCCGUAA